GGAUUAGAUACCCUGGUAGUCCACACUGUAAACGCUGUCUACUAGCUGUUUGUGUAUUUAAUACGUGAGUAGCGAAGCUAACGCGCUAAGUAGACCGCCUGGGGAGUACGGCCGCAAGGUUAAAACUCAAAGGAAUUGACGGGGGCCCGCACAAGCAGCGGAGCGUGUGGUUUAAUUCGAAGCAACGCGAAGAACCUUACCUACUCUUGACAUCCUGCGAACUUGCUAGAGAUAGCUUGGUGCCUUCGGGAGCGCAGUGACAGGUGCUGCAUGGCUGUCGUCAGCUCGUGCCG
rnacentral:rRNA from 1 species